UACGUAGGGGGCAAGCGUUGUCCGGAUUUAUUGGGCGUAAAGAGCGUGUAGGCGGCCACACAGGUCAGCUGUGAAAACUCGAGGCUCAACCUCGAGACGUCGGUUGAAACCGUAUGGCUAGAGUCCGGAAGAGGAGAGUGGAAUUCCCGGUGUAGCGGUGAAAUGCGCAGAUAUCAGGAGGAACACCGGUGGCGAAGGCGGUUCUCUGGGCCUGUACUGACGCUGAGGAGCGAAAGCGUGGGGAGCGAACAGG
rnacentral:rRNA from 1 species